rnacentral:misc_RNA from 1 species
GUUUAGCCCAGAUUGAGGCAUUUGUUUGAGCUCUUUUUUUGAUACUGAAUUUAUUUCAGAAUCAAAAAAAAGCGAGUGCUGAAAGCUGGAAAUAGC